GAUGAACGCUGGCGGCGUGCCUAAUACAUGCAAGUCGAGCGAAUGGAUUAAGAGCUUGCUCUUAUGAAGUUAGCGGCGGACGGGUGAGUAACACGUGGGUAACCUGCCCAUAAGACUGGGAUAACUCCGGGAAACCGGGGCUAAUACCGGAUAACAUUUUGAACCGCAUGGUUCGAAAUUGAAAGGCGGCUUCGGCUGUCACUUAUGGAUGGACCCGCGUCGCAUUAGCUAGUUGGUGAGGUAACGGCUCACCAAGGCAACGAUGCGUAGCCGUCCUGAGAGGGUGAUCGGCCACACUGGGACUGAGGAACGGCCCAGACUCCUGCGGGGGGCAGCAGUAGGGAAUCUUCCGCAAUGGACGAAAGUCUGACGGAGCAAAGCCGCGUGAGUGAUGAAGGCUUUCGGGUCGUAAAACUCUGUUGUUAGGGAAGAACAAGUGCUAGUUGAAUAAGCUGGCACCUUGACGGUACCUAACCAGAAAGCCACGGCUAACUACGUGCCAGCCGCCGCGGUAA
rnacentral:rRNA from 1 species